GCGCACAAGCAAGAUGAAAGUGAUGAAAGGCGUUGCCAAUGUCGUCCGUGGCUAUGCGCCGAGUGCGAGCAGAGUCAGAGUCUUAGGCGUACAAAUGCCUGAGAGUGUGGCCAAGCAAGUGGAUCGGCGCCAAAUCAAAAGGAAACUGCAGAAGCGAGUGGAGUGAACGAAAUGCAUCUUGUUCUAUUCCAGCACUAUAUUAUGCGUGUCUCCUGAAAGUUAUGUCUAUGACUUGCAGUCUACUGUGGAACUUUAGCAUUAUAACUGGAUGAUCUGUGAUCGCAUUGUAAGAUAUUUGUCAUGUCGUUGACAUGGUAUGUUAUGUACUUCCCAUUUGAGCAAAUUCUAUGAAGAUGAGGCUGCGUUUUUAUAGGCGAGAACAGCGUCCAGACCUGCUCGGGUUGGGCUGCUGCUGCAUCUGUUUUGAGUAAGUUGUAUGAAAAUGAGUCUUAUGCAUUGUUAUCGGGG
rnacentral:lncRNA from 1 species